rnacentral:rRNA from 1 species
AUUGAACGCUGGCGGCAGGCCUAACACAUGCGAGUCGAGCGGAUGAAGGGAGCUUGCUCCUGGAUUCAGCGGCGGACGGGUGAGUAAUGCCUAGGAAUCUGCCUGGUAGUGGGGGAUAACGUCCGGAAACGGGCGCUAAUACCGCAUACGUCCUGAGGGAGAAAGUGGGGGAUCUUCGGACCUCACGCUAUCAGAUGAGCCUAGGUCGGAUUAGCUAGUUGGUGGGGUAAAGGCCUACCAAGGCGACGAUCCGUAACUGGUCUGAGAGGAUGAUCAGUCACACUGGAACUGAGACACGGUCCAGACUCCUACGGGGGGCAGCAGUGGGGAAUAUUGGACAAUGGGCGAAAGCCUGAUCCAGCCAUGCCGCGUGUGUGAAGAAGGUCUUCGGAUUGUAAAGCACUUUAAGUUGGGAGGAAGGGCAGUAAGUUAAUACCUUGCUGUUUUGACGUUACCAACAGAAUAAGCACCGGCUAACUUCGUG